rnacentral:rRNA from 1 species
ACCAGCAACCAUGUCACCUUGCAACUCACAACGCACAGCUUACUGAAGCUCAGCAGGCCUGAGCCUGGUCAGUACCUGGAUGGAAGACCUCCUGGGAAAAACGAAGGUUGCUGCUGGAA